rnacentral:rRNA from 1 species
UACGGGGGGGAGCAAGCGUUGUUCGGAUUCAUUGGGCGUAAAGGGUGCGUAGGCGGCGCGGUAAGUCGGGUGUGAAAUCUCGGAGCUUAACUCCGAAACUGCAUUCGAUACUGCCGUGCUUGAGGACUGGAGAGGAGACUGGAAUUUACGGUGUAGCGGUGAAAUGCGUAGAUAUCGUAAGGAAGACCAGUGGCGAAGGCGGGUCUCUGGACAGUUCCUGACGCUGAGGCACGAAGGCCAGGGGAGCAAACGGG